rnacentral:rRNA from 1 species
ACCCGCGUCCUCUGUUGCAACCAGUUUUGUGCUGGGCCAACUGAGGAGACCGCCACUGAUAAAGUGGAGGAAGGAGCGGGCCACGGCAGGUCAGUAUGCCCCGAACCUCCCGGGCCACACGCGAGCUGCAAUGGCAGGGUUACAAUGGUUCCGACCUCGAAAGGGGGAGGCAAUCUCGAAAGCCUGCCGUAGUUGGAAUCGAGGGUUGAAACCCACCCUCGUGAACAUGGAAUCCCUAGUAAUCGCGUGUCACUAGCGCGCGGUGAAUAC